rnacentral:sRNA from 1 species
UCAUGUUGGUUGUCUUGCCCGGGGCGGG